GCCUAACACAUGCAAGUCGAACGACAAAGGGGCUUCGGUCCUGAGUAAAGCGGCGCACGGGUGAAUAACACGUGGGUAACCUGCCUCUGAGAUUGGGAUAACCUGUCGAAAGACGGGCUAAUACCAAAUAAGACCACGACUUCUUCGGGAGUUGAGGUCAAAGGUAGCCUCUAUUUAUAAGCUAUCGCUCGUAGAUGGGCCCGCGCACCAUUAGCUAGUUGGUGGGGUAAUGGCCUACCAAGGCAAAGAUGGAUAGCUGGUCUGAGAGGAUGAUCAGCCACACUGGAACUGAGACACGGUCCAGACUCCUACGGGAGGCAGCAGUGGGGAAUAUUGCGCAAUGGGCGAAAGCCUGACGCAGCUGCGCCGCGUGAGUGAUGAAUGCCUUCUGGUCGCAAAGCUCUCUCGGAGGGAACGAAUGCUUUUGAGGGUAAUAUCCUCAUGAGGUGACUGUACCCUCAAAGGAAGCACCGGCUAACUCUGUGCCAGCAGCCGCGGUAAUACAGAGGGUGCAAGCGUUGUUCGGAAUUAUUGGGCGUAAAGGGCGUGUAGGCCGGUCUGCUAAGUCAUGUGUGAUAUCCCCCGGCUUAACCGAGGAACGAUACAUGACACUGGCUAGCUAGAAUAGCAACGAGGGGGGUGGAAUUCCCGGUGUAGCGUGAAACUCGUAGAUAUCGGGAGGAACACCGUUGCGAUGGCGCCCCUGGUUGGAUACUGACGCUGAGACGCGAAAGCGUGGGAGCAACAGGAUUAGAUACCCUGGUAGUCCACGCUGUAAACGAUGGGCACUAGGUGUCCGGGGUAUUGUCCCCUUGGGUGCCGCAGCUACCGCAUUAAGUGCCCCCCUUGGGGAGUACGGUCGCAAGAUUAAAACUCAAAGGAAUUGACGGGGGCCUGCACAAGCGUUGGAGCAUGUGGUUCAAUUCGACGCAACUCGAAGAACCUUACCUGGGCUAGACAACGGCGGACCGUCCUAGAAAUAGGAUCUUCCCUUCGGGGACUGCCGGUUCAGGUGCUGCAUGGCUGUCGUCAGCUCGUGCCGUGAGGUGUUGGGUUAAGUCCCGCAACGAGCGCAACCCUUGCCCUUAGUUGCCACCAUUCAGUUGGGCACUCUAAGGCGACAUCCGUCGUUAAGCCGGAGGAAGGUGGGGACGACGUCAAGUCAUCAUGGACCUUAUGUCCAGGGCCACACACGUGCUACAAUGGACGGUACAAAGGGUCGCAAACCCGCGAGGGGGAGCCAAUNCCAAAAAGCCGUUCUCAGUUCGGAUUGGAGUCUGCAACUCGACUCCAUGAAGCUGGAAUCGCUAGUAAUCGCGGAUCAGAACGCCGCGGUGAAUACGUUCCCGGGCCUUGUACACACCGCCCGUCACACCAUGGAAGUCAGUUGUACCGGAAGUCGGUGAGUUAGCCCGCAAGGGGGACAGCCGCCUAUGGUAUGACUGGUGACUGGGGUGAAGUCGUAACAAGGUAGCCGUAGGGGAACCUGCGGCUGGAUCACCUCCUU
rnacentral:rRNA from 1 species